rnacentral:rRNA from 1 species
CAGUAGCCGCGGUAAUACGAGGGGUGCAAGCGUUAUUCGGAUUGAUUGGGUGUAAAGGGUGUGCAGACGGCUUAUUAAGUCACUUGUUAAAUUCUUCGGCCUAACUGAAGGUCUGCAAGUGGUACUGGUGAGCUAGAGGGUGGAAGAGAGAAGUGGAAUUCUCGGAGUAGCGGUAAAAUGCGUAGAUCUCGAGAGGAACACCAAUGGCGAAGGCAGCUUCUUGGUCCAUUCCUGACGUUCAUACACGAAAGCGUGGGGAGCAAACAGGAUUAGAUACCCCCGUAGUCCCUGUCUCUUAUAC